rnacentral:rRNA from 1 species
UUAAAUUGAAGAGUUUGAUCAUGGCUCAGAUUGAACGCUGGCGGCAGGCCUAACACAUGCAAGUCGAACGGUAACAGGAAGCAGCUUGCUGCUUCGCUGACGAGUGGCGGACGGGUGAGUAAUGUCUGGGAAACUGCCUGAUGGAGGGGGAUAACUACUGGAAACGGUGGCUAAUACCGCAUAACGUCGCAAGACCAAAGA